GGCGAAGCUGAGAACUUAAGCGCCAGUAAACGGCGGUGGUAACUAUAACCAUCCUAAGGUAGCGAAAUUCCUUGUCGGGUAAGUUCCGACCUGCACGAAUGGCGUAACGACUUCUCGACUGUCUCAACCAUAGGCCCGGUGAAAUUGCAUUACGAGUAAAGAUGCUCGUUUCGCGCAGCAGGACGGAAAGACCCCGGGACCUUUACUAUAGCUUGAUAUUGGUGUUCGGUUCGGCUUGUGUAGGAUAGGUGGGAGACUUUGAAGCAGCAACGCCAGUUGUUGUGGAGUCGUCGUUGAAAUACCACUCUGGUCGUGCUGGAUGUCUAACCUGGGUCCGUGAUCCGGAUCAGGGACAGUGUCUGGUGGGUAGUUUAACUGGGGCGGUUGCCUCCUAAAGAGUAACGGAGGCGCCCAAAGGUUCCCUCAGCCUGGUUGGCAAUCAGGUGUUGAGUGUAAGUGCACAAGGGAGCUUGACUGUGAGACUGACGGGUCGAGCAGGGACGAAAGUCGGGACUAGUGAUCCGGCGGUGGCUUGUGGAAGCGCCGUCGCUCAACGGAUAAAAGGUACCCCGGGGAUAACAGGCUGAUCUUCCCCAAGAGUCCAUAUCGACGGGAUGGUUUGGCACCUCGAUGUCGGCUCGUCGCAUCCUGGGGCUGGAGUAGGUCCCAAGGGUUGGGCUGUUCGCCCAUUAAAGCGGUACGCGAGCUGGGUUUAGAACGUCGUGAGACAGUUCGGUCCCUAUCCGCUGUGCGCGUAGGAAUAUUGAGAAGGGCUGUCCCUAGUACGAGAGGACCGGGACGGACGAACCUCUGGUGUGCCAGUUGUCCUGCCAAGGGCAUGGCUGGUUGGCUACGUUCGGGAGGGAUAACCGCUGAAAGCAUCUAAGCGGGAAGCCUGCUUCGAGAUGAGUAUUCCCACCUCCUUGAGAGGGUAAGGCUCCCAGUAGACGACUGGGUUGAUAGGCCGGAUAUGGAAGCCUCGUGAGGGGUGGAGUUGACCGGUACUAAUAGGCCGAGGGCUUGUCCUC
rnacentral:rRNA from 1 species